rnacentral:rRNA from 1 species
UACGUAGGGUGCAAGCGUUAAUCGGAAUUACUGGGCGUAAAGCGUGCGCAGGCGGUUCUAUAAGACAGAUGUGAAAUCCCCGGGCUCAACCUGGGAACCGCAUUUGUGACUGUAGAGCUGGAGUACGGUAGAGGGGGAUGGAAUUCCGCGUGUAGCAGUGAAAUGCGUAGAUAUGCGGAGGAACACCGAUGGCGAAGGCAAUCCCCUGGACCUGUACUGACGCUCAUGCACGAAAGCGUGGGGAGCAAACAGG